CCCUAGCCUUCCAAGCUAAC
rnacentral:tRNA from 4 species